rnacentral:rRNA from 1 species
AACGAACGCUGGCGGCAGGCCUAACACAUGCAAGUCGAGCGAGCAUUUCGGUGCUAGCGGCGGACGGGUGAGUAACGCGUGGGAACGUGCCCUUUUCUGCGGAAUAGUCCUGGGAAACUGGGGGUAAUACCGCAUACGCCCUUUUGGGGAAAGAUUUAUCGGAGAAGGGUCGGCCCGCGUUGGAUUAGGUAGUUGGUGGGGUAAUGGCCCACCAAGCCGACGAUCCAUAGCUGGUUUGAGAGGAUGAUCAGCCACACUGGGACUGAGACACGGCCCAGACUCCUACGGGAGGCAGCAGUGGGGAAUCUUAGACAAUGGGGGCAACCCUGAUCUAGCCAUGCCGCGUGAGUGAUGAAGGCCUUAGGGUUGUAAAGCUCUUUCAGCUGGGAAGAUAAUGACGGUACCAGCAGAAGAAGCCCCGGCUAACUCCGUG